rnacentral:rRNA from 1 species
UAUUAUUCCGAGAUAAAUCUUUUCUGGGGUUAGUAAUAGGUAUUUACUUAAAAGCUAAAAAAUUUGGCGGUAAUUUAAUCUUCUCAGAGGAACUUGUUUUUUAAUCGAUAAACCGCGAAUUAUCUUACUUACUUUCAUAAAGUUUGUAUACCGUCAUUAUCAGGUAAUUUUUAAAAAAUGAAUUUCUUAAUUUAGUAAAUUAGAAAAAUUAGAUCAUGGUGCAGCAUAUAAGUAAGUUAAAAUGAGUUACAAUAAAUUAUUUUAUAUGAAAAAUUAAGAGAACUUUUAAUUCGAAGGAGGAUUUGGUAGUAUUUCAAGUUUAAUAUGCUUGGGAGAUGUAAGCUCUAAAUUAUGUACAUAU